AGCGAACGCUGGCGGCAGGCCUAACACAUGCAAGUCGAACGAACCUUUCGGGGUUAGUGGCGGACGGGUGAGUAACACGUGGGAACGUGCCUUUAGGUUCGGAAUAACUCAGGGAAACUUGUGCUAAUACCGAAUGUGCCCUUCGGGGGAAAGAUUUAUCGCCUUUAGAGCGGCCCGCGUCUGAUUAGCUAGUUGGUUGAGGUAAUGGCUCACCAAGGCGACGAUCAGUAGCUGGUCUGGGAGGAUGAUCGGCCACAUUGGGACUGAGACACGGCCCAAACUCCUACGGGCGGCAGCAGUGGGGAAUCUUGCGCAAUGGGCGAAAGCCUGACGCAGCCAUGCCGCGUGAAUGAUGAAGGUCUUAGGAUUGUAAAAUUCUUUCACCGGGGACGAUAAUGACGGUACCCGGAGAAGAAGCCCCGGCUAACUUCGUG
rnacentral:rRNA from 1 species